GACGAACGCUGGCGGCGUGCCUAAUACAUGCAAGUCGAGCGGACAGAAGGGAGCUUGCUCCCGGAAGUCAGCGGCGGACGGGUGAGUAACACGUGGGCAACCUGCCUGUAAGACUGGGAUAACUUCGGGAAACCGGAGCUAAUACCGGAUAGGUUCUUCCUCCGCAUGGGGGAAGAUGGAAAGACGGUUUCGGCUGUCACUUACAGAUGGGCCCGCGGCGCAUUAGCUAGUUGGUGGGGUAUGGCCCACCAAGGCAACGAUGCGUAGCCGACCUGAGAGGGUGAUCGGCCACACUGGGACUGAGACACGGCCCAGACUCCUACGGGAGGCAGCAGUAGGGAAUCUUCCGCAAUGGACGAAAGUCUGACGGAGCAACGCCGCGUGAGCGAAGAAGGCCUUCGGGUCGUAAAGCUCUGUUGUUAGGGAAGAACAAGUGCCAGAGUAACUGCUGGCACCUUGACGGUACCUGACCAGAAAGCCACGGCUAACUACGUGCCAGCCGCCGCAGUAA
rnacentral:rRNA from 1 species